GACGAACGCUGGCGGCGUGCUUAACACAUGCAAGUCGAACGGAAAGGCCCUGCUUUUGUGGGGUGCUCGAGUGGCGAACGGGUGAGUAACACGUGAGUAACCUGCCCUUGACUUUGGGAUAACUUCAGGAAACUGGGGCUAAUACCGGAUAGGAGCUCCUGCUGCAUGGUGGGGGUUGGAAAGUUUCGGCGGUUGGGGAUGGACUCGCGGCUUAUCAGCUUGUUGGUGGGGUAGUGGCUUACCAAGGCUUUGACGGGUAGCCGGCCUGAGAGGGUGACCGGCCACAUUGGGACUGAGAUACGACCCAGACUCCUACUGGAGGCAGCAGUGAUGAAUAUUUCACAAUGGGCGGAAGCCUGAUGCAGCAACGCCGCGUGCGGGAUGACGGCCUUCGGGUUGUAAACCGCUUUCGCCUGUGACGAAGCGUGAGUGACGGUAAUGGGUAAAGAAGCACCGGCUAACUACGUG
rnacentral:rRNA from 1 species